GAUGAACGCUGGCGGCGUGCCUAACACAUGCAAGUCGAGCGAUUCUCUUCGGAGAAGAGCGGCGGGCGGGUGAGUAACGCGUGGGUAACCUGCCCUGUACACACGGAUAACAUACCGAAAGGUAUGCUAAUACGGGAUAACAUAAGAAAUUCGCAUGUUUUUCUUAUCAAAGCUCCGGCGGUACAGGAUGGACCCGCGUCUGAUUAGCUAGUUGGUGAGGUAACGGCUCACCAAGGCGACGAUCAGUAGCCGACCUGAGAGGGUGAUCGGCCACAUUGGAACUGAGACACGGUCCAAACUCCUACGGGAGGCAGCAGUGGGGAAUAUUGCACAAUGGGCGAAAGCCUGAUGCAGCAACGCCGCGUGAGCGAUGAAGGCCUUCGGGUCGUAAAGCUCUGUCCUCAAGGAAGAUAAUGACGGUACUUGAGGAGGAAGCCCCGGCUAACUACGUGCCAGCAGCCGCCGUAAUAC
rnacentral:rRNA from 1 species